GAUGAACGCUGGCGGCGUGCCUAAUACAUCCAAGUCGAGCGAACAGACGAGGAGCUUGCUCCUCUGACGUUGGCGGCGGACGGGUGAGUAACACGUGGAUAACCUACCUAUAAGACUGGGAUAACUUCGGGAAACCGGAGCUAAUACCGGAUAAUAUAUUGAACCGCAUGGUUCAAUAGUGAAAGACGGUUUUGCUGUCACUUAUAGAUGGAUCCGCGCCGCAUUAGCUAGUUGGUAAGGUAACGGCUUACCAAGGCAACGAUGCGUAGCCGACCUGAGAGGGUGAUCGGCCACACUGGAACUGAGACACGGUCCAGACUCCUACGGGAGGCAGCAGUAGGGAAUCUUCCGCAAUGGGCGAAAGCCUGACGGAGCAACGCCGCGUGAGUGAUGAAGGUCUUCGGAUCGUAAAACUCUGUUAUUAGGGAAGAACAAAUGUGUAAGUAACUAUGCACGUCUUGACGGUACCUAAUCAGAAAGCCACGGCUAACUACGUG
rnacentral:rRNA from 1 species